GCAGCCGUGGCCCACUGGUUAGCACUCUGGACUUGUAACCAGAGGGUUGCCGGUUCGAGCCCCAACCAGUGGGCUGCG
rnacentral:tRNA from 1 species